UGAGAACACAUGGACAUGAAGAGGGGAUC
rnacentral:piRNA from 1 species